rnacentral:rRNA from 1 species
AGUGAACGCUGGCGGCGUGCCUAACACAUGCAAAUCGAGCGAGGUUAUACAGUACACCGUAUGAUCUAGCGGUAGACGGGUGAGUAACACGUGAGAAACCUUCCCUUGAAUGGGGAACACCCCCGAGAAAUCGGGGUUAAUACCCCAUAAGACCACAGUCCGGCAUCGGACAGGGGUCAAAGGCGUAAGUCGUUUGAGGAUGGUCUCGCGUCCUAUCAGCUUGUUGGUGAGGUAACGGCCCACCAAGGCUAUGACGGGUAUCCGGCCUGAAAGGGCGAUCGGACACACUGGAACUGAGACACGGUCCAGACUCCUACGGGAGGCAGCAGUGGGGAAUUUUGGACAAUGGGCGAAAGCCUGAUCCAGCGACGCCGCGUGGAGGAUGAAGGCCUUCGGGUUGUAAACUCCUUUUAGAGGGAACGAAUAAAUUGACGGUACCCUCAGAAAAAGCCACGGCUAACUACGUGCCAGCCGCCGCCGUAA